AAUAGAAACAUUGUCAUCAUUUACUUUUUGAUGUUAACAUACAAGUGGGGACACCACUGCAAAUCACCUUCAAUAUAUUGCCUUGAACUUCUGCAGAUCUUCAGUGGGUUCUUCUCCUCUCUCGCUCUGAGAUAUAGAAGAUGGUGAUGAUUGGUGGUAAGCAACUGCAGAAGCUUGUGGGAGAUCUCAAAUCGAAACUUAAGAAGCCACUGAAGUCAAAGAAGCCUUACGACAAGAUGAACAAGACUGACAGUAUGAGAGAAGAGAUAAACAGCAGGAAGGCUCAGAAACUUAUAUCUGAGACACUCAAGAUAGCCGACUCCCCUGCAGGCCAUAGGAGCUAUGCUUUUUGAUUAAGGCUUUGUUUGGGACAGUUUUUUAUUGCUUUCUAAAACGGUUUCCUAGCACAAAAAUUUCUAAUUCAAGAAAUUUUUUUACUAGAAAGAUGUUUUAGAAAGCAAAAAUAAAGCUGUCCCAAACUAAGCCUAAACUUGUCCUCGCAAGUGCUUUAGAUUUAUACAGAAAGUUGUUUGGAAGACUCUGUGUUUCAGCUUAACUUCUUAUGAAAUAUGUAAACAGUAAUGAUAAAACUGUAACGCUCUUGAUUUUGUGGCACAGAAGAGUGACCAUGAUCUGCUAUUAAUUAGAGCUCAUUUGGUUAUCUGCAAAUACAAAAUAGUUUUAUAAGAUAAUGUUUUAUUUAUUAUUUA